rnacentral:rRNA from 1 species
GACUGUGCGAAGGUAGCAUAAUAAUUUGCCUUUUAAUUGGAGGAUGGAAUGAAUGGUUGGACGAAGAUAAAACUGUCUCAUAUAUAUUUAUUAAAAAUUGAUUUUUAGGUUAAAAAGCCUAAAUCGCAUUAAAGGACGAGAAGACCCUAUUAAGCUUAAAAAAAUAUUAUAAUUAUCACUAUAAUAUUAAAUGUGGCGUUAAUAAUAAUAUUUUAGUUGGGGCGACUUGGGAGUAGAAAAAACCUCCUUUAGGUAAGAUAAAAUGUUAUUUAUGGUCCAAAAGAUUUUGAGAUAAGAACAAGUUACUAUAGGGAUAACAGCGUAAUUUUAUUUGAGAGUUCUAAUCGAAAAUAGAGUUUGCGACCUCGAUGUUGGAUUAAGAAGUAGUGAAGGUUGCAGAA